UACGUAGGUGGCAAGCGUUGUCCGGAAUUAUUGGGCGUAAAGCGCGCGCAGGCGGUCCUUUAAGUCUGAUGUGAAAGCCCCCGGCUCAACCGUGGAGGGUCAUUGGAAACUGGGGGACUUGAGUACAGAAGAGAAGAGUGGAAUUCCACGUGUAGCGGUGAAAUGCGUAGAGAUGUGGAGGAACACCAGUGGCGAAGGCGACUCUUUGGUCUGUAACUGACGCUGAGGCGCGAAAGCGUGGGGAGCAAACAGG
rnacentral:rRNA from 1 species